UAUUCAUGACUUGCCAUAUACAGGUCAACCGUUCAAGAUGCGCUCGGAUGUUAAUUGUCUUUCUUUUUGGAGUUUUCAGGUCAUAGCUCUUCAAUUAUAGCGAACCUGGUGAAUGAUCAAAGUAAAACUCUUAACGGAAGUCCCGUUCACUAGAGAGAGAGAGAGAGAGAGAGAGGUGUGGCAAAAACUAUUCCACCUGUACAGUGACAUGAUGAAUACUGUAGGUUCUUUCACA